rnacentral:sRNA from 1 species
UUCCAAAGCGUGCGGUGCGGGGUUCGCC